CUCCAAUUUUUGAAAAAUGUGAUGAAAAUUAUUUAUGGAGUUAAUAGGGUUUUAAAAAGGAAAGUUUGCACCAUGUGUCAUGCUUAGUUAUCAUGUUACAUAUGUAACGUGAUAACAUGUCACAUGCCACAGAAUCCAAUGUACAUCGACAUUGUUUGACCUUUACUUUGCAAACCAAGCAUUCAACACAGUCAAAACUAAUCCAUUUAUUAAUCCUAUUAAUUAAAGCAAUAAUU